UUGCAAUACUGUGACCUCCAACCCCAUGGGUUUCCCAUCUCUGUUCUUACCCAGGAAGUCCUGGUCAUGUCAUGGCCACAUAUGUGUAGCAGAAAAUAACCCCACUGAUACAACUGUCAUUGUGAAAGUAUGGAGGUCUGGAGCCUCUCAUAAGCCUGGGGUUUUGGGUCAUCAGGGCCUAUGGCCACCUUACCUGGGCUGAGCUUCUGGAAAAGUUGCUGUGCCAGUCUACACCCCUCAGCCAGCUGUUCUUGGAGGUCCUGCCCCUGGGACUUGUCUGGCUUAUCCGGAGUGAGGAGGGCCUGGAGAUGCUGAUUCAAUGAGCGGGAGGCAUCUCUCCCUUCCCGUAACUUCUCCCUUAACUGGGUCAGCUCUCGUUCCUGAGAGUGAACCAGGACUUUAUAUUGCCUAAGCUCCUCAGCUUGCUUGAGCUGCUCUGCAAGCUUCUCCUCCUUGAACUGUCGCUCAUUCCUCAGCAUAAAUUUUAUGAGGUCUUUACA
rnacentral:lncRNA from 1 species